CUCCCAGUAUACACUCAUAACAUUUCAGAGUGUAGGCUGGUGAAAUGCAAAAUUGAAGGGAGAAGCACAAUCCCAAAAAUCAGGAGGAGAUGCAUUCUGCAACUUCUAUCUCCAUAUGUUAUGGCUAUUAGUAGUCGUCCUGGACAGUGGACAUUGUUCACACUGCUCCUUCGCUCCCCACUUCAAUAGUGGCAACAUGUGACUCUUUCUGUAUUUGUCUGUACCACAGACUGUAUGUAGAUGGACAUCUGUGUGACGUCACUGGUGGGUUUCUGAAGAGUGGUUGUAAAGCUCAGUGCUGGUGUCUUAUAGCUAGACAUAAAGAAACAUACAUAAAGAAAUACUGUAGGUAUGUAGUGUAUAUCUACAUACAGUAUAAGACAGACUGUAGGAAGAAUGUAAGUACAAAAUAAGACUAUCACUCAGUUUUUACAUGUGGUUUAAUCACACAUUGAACAUAUUUAGCAACUAUGAGCCACAUAUGAUUCAUUAAUUUCCAUUCUUACAGAACUUUUUUUUUCCAGAGAUUGAUGUUGUCCACUCAAUUGUUUUGAGUGGCAUAAUUCGGGAUUCAGCCUGAACCAGGUAAACAAGUCCAGACAAGUGAAUAAAAUAACUCCUCCUUGACAGACUACACAUGACCCAGAGCAAAAUCAAUUUGAGCCAUUUUGAGCAUUUUUGUAUUCAGCAUUUUUAAGUAUCUUUUUGAGGGUUGUACUCUACACACUGCUGAGAACUGCUGUGACUUUCGUGCCUGAGAAGGGCAGUCUAAAUUUGACUAUCAAACUGGUUCCUGAUAUCAAAUUGCAAUCUCCAUGGCAGUUUUCCCAGAGGUUAUUCAGAUAAUGUAGUCCUGACUCAUCACAUGGUGUUCCAGCAAUCCACAAAAAUACUCAGUCUUAGGUGACAGAACAAUUAUGUGCAUGUUAUUUUUCAAGUAAAAGAUUAACAGACAAUGUACUCUGUGUAGUUUCUCCAGCUGUUGGCUGUUGUGGCAAGAGUUACGUCAACAAGGGCUUGAGCACCAACACUUAAAUUUCAUUUCUUAGUCUGUGCCCUUACAAGAUAAAGCUGGUUAGGCAGAGUACAGGAGGUAAAGGAGGGAGGUUCGUGUUUGUUAUUAUUUCAUUCUCAGAGAAUGAAAGCCACUCAUCACAAUCAUGUAAGUGAAACCUUCCCUGUUAUGUAAAUAUCCCAGUCUUUUAUGCAAACAUGACAUGUCUUGUAAAAGGAUUUAACACAGUAUGUCAAAGAGAGACAGACCCUACCUUUGCACUGUGCAGUGUAACAACCACACAAUCUUUUCACUAUAUUUUCAUCUCAGAAAAUAUGUGCAUCGUCAGUACAUCAAAGCUGUAGUUACAACAUCACAAAGCAAACAAUGACUUGCAAAUAAAACACUUUAUCUUGCUUUGA